rnacentral:rRNA from 1 species
CCUACGGGGGGCAGCAGUGAGGAAUAUUGGUCAAUGGGAGAGAUCCUGAACCAGCCAAGCCGCGUGAGGGAAGACGGCCCUAUGGGUUGUAAACCUCUUUUGUCGGAGAACAAAACCCGGGACGUGUCCCGCACUGCGUGUAUCCGAUGAAAAAGCAUCGGCUAACUCCGUGCCAGCAGCCGCGGUAAUACGGAGGAUGCGAGCGUUAUCCGGAUUUAUUGGGUUUAAAGGGUGCGUAGGCGGUCCGUUAAGUCAGCGGUAAAAUUGCGGGGCGCAACCCCGUCGAGCCGUUGAAACUGGCAGACUUGAGUGGGCGAGAAGUACGCGGAAUGCGCGGUGUAGCGGUGAAAUGCAUAGAUAUGACGAAGAACCCCGAUUGCGAAGGCAGGUGGCUGCAGCGGAACUGACGCUGAUGCUCGAAAGCGCGGGUAUCGAACAGGAUUAGAUACCCCAGUAGUC